CCUACGGGAGGCAGCAGUGAGGAAUAUUGGUCAAUGGGCGCGAGCCUGAACCAGCCAAGUCGCGUGAGGGAAGACGGUCCUACGGAUUGUAAACCUCUUUUGUCGGGGAGCAAAAGACGCCACGCGUGGCGUUCCGAGAGUACCCGAAGAAAAAGCAUCGGCUAACCCCGUGCCAGCAGCCGCGGUAAUACGGAGGAUGCGAGCGUUAUCCGGAUUUAUUGGGUUUAAAGGGUGCGCAGGCGGAAGAUCAAGUCAGCGGUAAAAUUGAGAGGCUCAACCUCUUCGAGCCGUUGAAACUGGUUGUCUUGAGUGGGUGAGAAGUAUGCGGAAUGCGUGGUGUAGCGGUGAAAUGCAUAGAUAUCACGCAGAACUCCGAUUGCGAAGGCAGCAUACCGGCGCUCAACUGACGCUCAUGCACGAAAGUGUGGGUAUCGAACAGGAUUAGAUACCCUUGUAGUC
rnacentral:rRNA from 1 species